UCCUCUCCGCGCCGCUUCGCGAGCUGAGGGCAGGCCGGAGGAUCCUGGGCGACAGCCGCACCGAUGAUGGGAUUUAUUAUGGGCUGCACGUGUUUCAAAGGUACCAGCCUAUCGCAUCUGUUUCAAGGUAUGUGUAAUCCUCUCGAUCGUUUAUUACAGCUGCAUUAGUGCACUGCGGUUUGUUUCUGCAUCGGAAUUGUAAGUUGAUUAACAAGAUUACUUAUACGAAUGUAGAUUUUGUGAGUUCACAGUUUAAUGAACUAACAACACGUAUAAGAAAAGAAAAUAAUAGCGAUUGAAGCUACUGAAGCGAGUGAAGCAAUUAAAGCGUCAAUAACGCGUGAAUCAUCCUGUUAAACGUCUGUAUAGACGCUUUACGCGCGAAGUUGAGAAAAUAUAAGCAAUUAUUAGUUUUAUCGAAGGUGGUUUUAUUUAUGAAAAACUUGGUGAUUGUACAUUAAACUUUUUUUAUGUACCAGAUUUAAAUUAAACUUUUUGGAAAAAGUGUAUGUGAAAAAAGCUAUUAAAAUUUUUUCUUUUAAUUUUUGGAACUAAAGCUCGAUAAACAUUUUGUUGGCUUAUAUAAAGCUUUGAAAACGAAUGUUUCCCACAAAUUUUUUUAUUUUUGCUUAACUCGAUGAUGUUUAAUUCACAUGAAUCUAUUUCGACGUUAGUUAUUUUUAACCUUCUUAAGGCCAACGUUUAAUAUCGAUUUAAUAUUGCAAGGAUAGCAUUCUAUCUUUUUCCAACUGAACUUUACAUUGAUUUUGCUUUGAGCAGGCUUUUCAAUCGCAGCUUCCUCAUUCUUUUAUUAUCUUUUUUUUUCCCACAUUGGCACGUAAUCGGAACGCUUUGUCAAAUACAAGUAUGAUUGUAAAGAAAGUUUAGAUUCGUUUUGUUAUUAUCGACUGGUGUUUUCCAGUCUCUCUUUCAAAUGAAACAUGCCGCCAUCUCUCACGAAGAUUCUGAGUUGCUUGCUAGCGAUCAAUAAAACCUCGUGCAGAUUUACCAUAGUGAAAACUGAUGAAAAAUCAACAGAGAAUCUUAGAAAAAUAAAUGCUUAUUGCCAUCAUUUUUAACAUCGAGGAAACAAAUUUGAGAGCCGGAAUCGAAAUAAUUUUUUCGAAUUUGUAUCAUGAAGUGGAUAAAUUCUUCUGUCUUUCCACCGACAGCCGGUAAAGCUUUCUCUGCAAUCGAUUGUAGAGCGUCUAGUAUACCGCCAGUGGAUUCUAUCCCCGGGAUGUGGCGCCUCCAUUCCUGCCGCAAAUCUCUUGCGUUAUCAAACUAGUGUAGUAAAUAACGUGCCCUCCGCGUUAUCACCUGCAUGCUAAGUUAAAACUGCACAGAAAAAAAUUAGUAAUUAAAAAAUUUUUUUCUUUAUGUAAAGCAAAUUGUGUCUGUUCGAGAUUACAAAUUUUUCCAAGAAGAUUUUUUAUUCUUGCUUAUAUGAAACAAUGAAUUGUUAAUCUGAUACUAAUUUUUUUCUAUGUAUGUUAAUUAUAACAAUGAAUUAUUUAAAGUCAGGUUUUUAAUAGUAUUCACGAUAUUUACAUCUCUUACUACAAUAACGAGAUACAAACGUACUCUACACAAUUAUGCAAAUGAUUUUUGCGUAGCACAAGAUCACUGUUGUUUACAAACAAAUAUUCUAAAGUUAAUGUCGAAAAAUAGAAGAAAAUAUUUGUUUGUUAUUUAGAGCCCUACAAUCUAUAUUUUCCAUUAUAUGUUUUGUUGUUUUGUUAUUUGUAAUUAUCUUCUAGCUUCAGAAUGUGUAAAUUAUUCCAGACUAAAAAAAACUUUUUAAAUUUCUUUUUAAUUAAAACUCUUAUCAAGUUUGAAGUAAACAACAGUAGUUAAGGGUUAAAUUUAUCGCAAUUUUUGAAUAUUCAGUAUUUUAUUUUUACGGUUAUAUGUAGAAUUAAAAUUUAAAAAAAAAGAAACGUUUUUUCGAAAGAAGUGAGCAAGAGGUGUAUUAUCAAAUUUCCCUGCGAUAUAUUUAUUUUCGGAAAUGCGCUGCUACAUACGUUUCAAAUUCCUGCUCAUAUUCCCAAGGAGACUUUGUGGCGUUAGUAAUACGAUAGUGCUCCUCUAAUUAACUGUUUUAGUUGUUAAGCCGAGUCCGUUGACUCUGCGAUUAACGUAUCACGUAAUUAAAGCUUACCGAUUUACGUUAUCACAUUUCCUGCACGGACGCUUGCUUUAAGAAUGCAGAUCUCAGUGAGAAUUCGGAUUAUUUCCCGAUCGGAAAAAAAAGGUUUUGAAAAUUUGCGCUGUAUUAAUUAAUUAAUUAUUCCGCACUGAUUUCAAUCGCCUUUGACGGCAAUCGAUUUUAUCGACGCGAUAAAAUUUUUAAUUGGAAUUCGGCUGCUAUUCACAACCCUAUAUCUUUUCUUUUAUUCAAUGCCACUGCGUUCUCUAUAGUUUCAUAAUGGCGAUCUAUUGUAAGAUCCUCCCUUUGUGAUUGCGGUGCUUAAUGAUACUGCAAUUUUCAAGGGAAGUUCCGACAGUGACUCGCAUUUCCGUAGGCCGUCGCAAUCGCCAAACUCGAUAUCGCAGAAAAUUCGAGAAUAUGAGCGAAGAAAAAAAAGCGCACACUGAUUUUCUUCUCUUCAUCUGACACCGCGAUCUGUGAUGACCGCUCGUGCAGCGCAAUUAAGGCCGGGCCGUGAAUUCUUUCGUAAGAAACUGGGAAGAUCCGACAGUUCGAAUGCCCCAGUUUCAGAACUUUUUUUUUUUCCUCCCGUCGAACGUGGCGUUUAAUUAAAGCGUGUGUUAACGGCGACUACUCGUGUGAGAGAAAUUUUGUUGCACUCGUUUCGAGCAAUGAGUUCCUUCGCCGUCGUUUCGAGUAACAAUCCACGUAUGAUGCGAGUACUCUAAUGGCCGUCGGUGCGAUAUCGAAAUUGUUUCUAAUUAAACGAGGAGGCCUUGAAAUUUACCUUAGGUUUCUCCGCGAACCGUCCGCCGCGAAUUAAUCCCCCGGGAAUAAUGCGAAGAAUAAUUAAUUUUUAAUCCGCUGUAGCUGCAAACUUAGACACAUUUAUAUAUUUUAAAGUUUUUGUUAAAAAAAAAAUGAAUGACUGUUAUCUAUCUAUCGACGUAAUAUUAAUUAAAGCUACGUUCAAUUUUUAUAUAAAUAUGUGAUUAUCUAAAAUAACAUUAAAAUAUUGUAUUAUAACUCGGCGAUAUUUUUCAUCGUUUUAAUAGAUGAAUUUACAGCUAUUACUCGUAUUCGUAAAAUGAGAAAUUUGACAGGACAGUCUUCAUUAUCGUUAAUGACGUAUUUACGUCAUACUUUAUUGACGAAUGUAUUUCUUCCUUUCGUCGUUUUAAAUAAAUGACAAUCGAAUUAGCGAUCCAUUUCAAGUACUUUGGUAAAUCGAUACUCACAUGGUCUUCCAUUUCGCUUAAAACACUUCUGCAUUAAAUAAUAUUGCCAAUCGUGAUAUUAAUGCGCGAAGGAUACUAGGACGCGAUGAAAUGAAGCUUUCACAGUUUCAUGGGGAGCUUUCGAGCAACUGACUUCCACUACUUCUCUCGCUUGCUGACCUAAUUCGCCAUCGCGGCUCGCGAACAGAAUUAUUUAUCAAUACUAGUACAAUCGGUUUAGUACAUCAACUUUCGGCUAACGUCCAGUUGACCCUUAGAUCGGCCCUCAGGUACAUUGGAAGUAAAUUAUUCCUUCGGAAAUUACGACGGUUGACCAUUCAUCGUGAGCUCUCCAGAUGCUAUUGCUGGAGAAUUAUUACAGCCAUCGCCGUAUUGUGCAUGCUUCUUUUUUUAAAAAUAUUCUUUUCCUAUUUUUUUUUGUCUCUCCCUUUCUCUCUUUCCGCCAUUCUCUCGUUCGUUCUGUUUUCGACGGCAAUUCACGCCGCGAUUGCUCAAGCCACUUCAUUUCGCCGUUGUAGUUUCAAGAUCAUGUAUCGCCAGAUUUUAAAUGCUUUACGAAUGCGGGAGUCGUGCGCACUUGUCGUCCUUAACCCACAUCACGAGACGCGCUUUAUCUCGCACGUGGCGCCCUUCGAGCGUCAUGUUUCUCUCGGAAGCGCAAUCGAUGGCUACCAUCCCUCUGUAACCCUCGUUUCCCAAAUUUGCUUUUCGAAUUUCGACUGAUUCCGUAAUGUAAUCGAGAUUACGGAACGGAUUUGGCGUAUUUGGCUCUUUUCUUAACAUCCUCUUGCAAAGAGAAACAUAAACCGGAUCAUAGCGCAUGUUUUCUGUCAAAUAAAUAGGGCUGCACAGUGCGCAGUAUUUACACCUAUAUCCCAUAAUGGUCAAAUCGAAUUUACGCGUGUCAUUGCGUUCUAAUCGCUUCUACAUCCAUUUCUGUUAAAAUUCGCGAGCGACAGCCGAUACGCAAAACGAGAGCACCGCGCGGUAGCAGCGUUUUGUUUUUUUAAAUCAAGGCAAAUCUAUGUGUCAGAGAAUUUCAAACGGUAAAGGUAACCACGACGACGAACCACGGAUCAGUUUUCCGGAUUGUUGUUUCCCAAUGAGUGCCGUUCGUUACCGAUCAAAGUCGGCUAUCGGCGAGCUGGAAAAUUCUCUCUCUCUCUCUCUCUCUCUCUCUCUCUCUCUCUCUGUUGGAGCAAAAUAACCGCAAUGGUUACCACGACGAGAUCGAAUCUUUAUCCCUCUCAUCAUGGUCCAAAGCUUUCGCGACAAGAAAAGCAUACCUCUUCGUCGCAGCGCCGUUCUUCAGCGGUUUCCAACGAGCUUUGCCCGACAUUCUCCGGCCCGGGGCGAACCCGCGGCCCGAAUAAGGGAUGUGGCCUGUGUACCCCCAAGAGCGAAUGGAACGAGCUAUGCAGCCGACCGCGCGCAUUCGUGACCUCGAUGCAUUCAGCCUCGCCGAUCUCAUUCGCGGUUAAACGCUUAGCGCCCGGGGCACGACGGGUCGUCAGGAAGACUUUAAAAUGUUCUGGAAAAUCGCGCCGAACGCGCUACCCAUUAUCCGGUCAAAAAGCUUGGUCGGCUCUUUUUCUUCCGCCAACACCCGCAGGCACAUUUACUCUUUCCUCCUCUCCCCUUUUCAAGCGCGGUGAGUCUGCGUUGGAAGGAUUCGAAAGUUCCUCGGAGAGACCCGUUCUCGUAUCUUACUGCCAUCUCCGUUUUAACGUUUAGUUUUUCCUUUAAUCGCCCGGACAUGAAAUUUAACGAUAUCUAUCGAUAAGGAAACGUCGAAAGAAUCUAAAGAUAAUCGUUAUCUAAUAUCGGUCAUACUAAGGUAAGAAUUAAAUUUCUCCUACUUUGAGAUUAUGGCAGCUAUUCUCUUAUUAUUUCAUUAUCUGACUCGACCAUUUUUAAAAUAAAUUAGAAACGAGAUCGAGAGAAAAAGCAGAUCAUCAAUGCGCAAUGUCUUAAUAACGAAUCAAUAGGUCUCUGCGGAGACUAGUCCGCAGUCUUUACCGUUCGUUGCCUCUCUGCCGGACUUAGAAACCUAUUGCUAAGGUGCACUACUUUUUCACGAGCACCUCGAGAUUCAUCUGCUUUUCCGUUUUCGCUUUGGUCCAGAGUGGACGAUAAGAAAAAAAAAGGAGGAAAGGUAGAAGAAGUGGCGAAGAGCAGUAUGGCGCGGUGCAAUGACGUUCGGGAUUCUCGAAAGAAGACCGCCGCGCUGAUCGGAAACCACUUCACGGAGCGUUCCCUUGGAAAAGUAAAUGAGAGAAUCGCGUCGUAACGACGUGGAGGGAAUCUUGUGGCUUCUCGUUAUACGAGCGUGUAAUUGAUGCCUGUAAUCGAUGCGGGUGCUGGUCAUUAUGCGAUGGAAUGUGUAGAGCGCGUUCCGCAAUCACCGUAUAAUUUUUUUAAUAGCGUAUUC